GCUGGGUGCAUGGAGCCCCAGUAGACAGAAAGUGAAGAAAACAUCAACGUUCUGAAGUUUUAGAUAGGUGCACCAUCCCUUAUGGAUACCAAUCUGUGCUCCCCAUAAACUUCUGUGCCCAGGGUCAACUGGCCAGGGACAACUGGCUCACCAGGAGGCCUACAUAGCCUCUUCUUCAGGCCCUAAUUACAGCUCUAUGCAAUAGGGACUCUGCCAUCUGACAGCCAAGGAGGUGGUUCGGUUUCUGCACAUGGUUUUUUCCGCUGGGUCCCUUGAGGUCCAUGGUAACCUCUUCCUCAUUCUCUACAGGCAGAUCACACUUUGUAAUAAGAUCAGAGGCAGAGAACUUUGACCAGAUCACACUUUAUAAUAAGAUCAGAGGCAAAGAACUCUGACCAGAUCACACUUUAUAAUAAGAUCAGAGGCAGAGAACUUUGACAACUAUCUCCUUGCCCUCUGGCCCUGGGGUCAGGGCUACUCAAACAACACCUGCUGUCCCAAACCCGGAGAAGUGUAGAUUUUGGCACUGGUAGAGGAAUAACAGCUAUUGUUGACACUUAAUCUUGUGGGCCUGGAAUUUCAACUAUGUUUUCACAACUCGGAGCCUAUUGCUGCCACCUCUGUCAGGGAAGAUAAAUGGGCAUGAAUAAUAGACAGAUGAGUUUCCCAAAAGCCCAGACAGGCUGCAGGGAACACGUAAUGAGCAGACAGUGUGGUUCACGCCGGGGAGCCCAGGUUUAUCCAGGCCUCAUCCUCACUCCCUUUCUCUACUGAUAAUUGGACCCAACAGGACCAUUCCGAAUCAUUUUUCUCUCUUCAGUUAUUCUUCAGUUCUACUCAAAGGGUCAGUUUAGGGCAUAAUUAAAGUCAAUUACUUUCUGAAAGGCCAUCAGGACAACUGUUAGAGAAAAUGAUAGCAGCCCCGCACUUGCUGUAGGAAUUAUUAGCUUGUCAGCCUCCAGGCUUAUGGAGACAAAGGAUCAAAAAGUUAGAGAGAUCCAGGUGUUCACCUAUUUGUUCACUAAUUCUUUUAUUGUGAGUGUGCAUGUGUGUGGGUGGGUGUGACAUUUAUUAUGAACCAGAGGGCAGGAGCCAGUGACACAGUGGUGCAGAGAAUAAUCAUAUUCCCUGCCUUCCUGGGGUCAUACAGCUUGGUGGAGGACACAGAUGUGAAUUCGGUAAUCACUCCAAUAAAUAUUCUCCUACAGAUGAAGAAAGAUGAUACGAUGUGAUGGACAACAGAGACUUAUAUGGUGGGGUCUGGGCUGGUCUUUCUGAAGCUAAGACUGGCAGGAUGAGCAGGAGUUUGCCAGACAAAGAGGAGUGGAGUUGUUUUCCAAACACAUCUCAGCACAAAGUGUUGUCUUUGCUGGGAGCUGAAAAAAGAUAGUGUGGGCAGAGACCAUUAGGUGAGACGCUUGAUAUGAGAUACAACCUCAACAGGUGGAAGAAGAUCAUGAGAGAUGAAGAGAGGAAUAUAGUACAGCAGAGAGGACACAGAAGCUGACGUCAGGGUGUCUCAGUUUGAAACCAGUGGCCACCCUGUUCCUCUCCCAUGUGGUCCCAUCAUGGGCCUCUAGGGUCUGGGAUAAGAGGUUAAUGAAUAUCUCAUACCCUAAGCAGGGGUGGUCCCUGCACUUUAGCAAAAAGUUAAGGAACUAGGGAAAAGAGAUGGAAAUAAUAAAGAGAUGGGACAAAGACUUUGAAGACCAAAGCCCCUGGGCUAUUCUCUUUUUUAAAUUUUUUUAUUUAAAUUUUCAUUUAUUUUUAUCAAGAUAGGGUCUCACUAUGUUGCCCAGGUUGGUCUCAAACUUUUGGCCUAAAGCAAUCCUCCCACCUUGGCCUCCCAAUGUGCUGGGAUUACAAUGUGAGCCACCACGUCCAGCCUCCUGGGAUAUUUCUCAAUGAAACAUUGGAUGCCAAGAUUGGUUUUGUGCCACAUGCCAAUUUCACAGAAGCCAGUCUAUGAGCCACCAGCUCUACUCAGCAAUUACAGUUUCUGGAACUUUGGCUAAAUUCCUGUAGAUGCACCACUGCUUGUGGCCUGACUCUUUGCCACCCAAGUGCGCUCAGCCUCCCCUGGGGAGUCUGCCAGGCUUGCAUGGCUCCCACUGCACUUGCUGUGCUGGGACCGAAAACAGUUUUUGUGCCCCUAGCUUAACUCCACUGGAUUCAUAGAGGCUUUGGCCUCCUCAAUGGCUGUCCUGGGACAGGGAGGCUGGUUAGCACAAUUAACACAACCUGGUCAUGCAAGGCAUUGAUGGUCCGUAACAUGAACUUUGACCAGUAGGAGACAGAGAAUGGAAAAAAGCCAGCAGAUAAAUCAUCUGGCCUUCCUCCCCUAUGACAGACUGUUCUGAGCCACAGUGUUUCACAUGUCUUCCUGGAGAUGUCCCACAUGACUUGAGCAACCAGCUGGAGCUCUGGAGAAACUGUGGCCAUCCUGAGGAAGAAACAGGCCCAGAGAAGUUGGGUAACUCAUCAAAGGUCACAGAGCUAAGAGUGGCAGAGUCAGGCCUGGAGCCCAGGAAGUCUGGUUUCGAAUUUCAUGCUUCUAACCUGAGCACUGUACUGCUUGGUGGAGUUCUCUGCUAGUCCUACCUUUCAGGCAGAGGUGAUGCAGCAAGAAAGCUGCCACCAGAUGCAGCCCCUUGAUCUCGGACUGCCCAGCCUCUAGAACUGUGAGCCAAUUAAAUUUUUCCUUUGUAAAUUA
ensembl:lncRNA LINC00906 long intergenic non-protein coding RNA 906